rnacentral:rRNA from 1 species
GACGAACGCUGGCGGCGUGCUUAACACAUGCAAGUCGAACGGAAAGGCCCUGCUUUUGUGGGGUGCUCGAGUGGCGAACGGGUGAGUAACACGUGAGUAACCUGCCCUUGACUUUGGGAUAACUUCAGGAAACUGGGGCUAAUACCGGAUAGGAGCUCCUGCUGCAUGGUGGGGGUUGGAAAGUUUCGGCGGUUGGGGACGGACUCGCGGCUUAUCAGCUUGUUGGUGGGGUAGUGGCUUACCAAGGCUUUGACGGGUGGCCGGCCUGGGUGGGUGACCGGCCACAUUGGGCCUGGGAUACGGCCCGGACUCCUCCGGGAGGCAGCAGUGGGGAAUAUUGCCCAAUGGGCGGAAGCCGGAUGCAGCAACGCGGCGUGCGGGAUGACGGCCUUCGGGUUGUAAACCGCUUUCGCCUGUGACGAAGCGUGAGUGACGGUAAUGGGUAAAGAAGCACCGGCUAACUACGUG